ensembl:lncRNA
CGCUUGUAAGCAUCGAAGGGGGGAAUGUAGUAUCUAAGCUGAGAAUAUUUGUUGCUUAUCACAAUGGUACCUGAGACGUGUUAUUCAAUAUGUUAGUAGAAUGUGUAGCAGAAUGAAUGAGUGCUGCAUCUUCGCUUUGUGUUGACUGGUGUGUUGCUUACGUGAUAUCAAGGAUGUGAUUUGCCUUAACCAAUCACGGCAGGAGGACGCCCUAUAAAGCUGGGUAAUCGUCACUCACCGUUCUCUUGUUUUGACGUCAGGGGCACGCCCCGCUCCCCGUUCGCCUCACUUUCUGUUUACUGUUGCUGAUAAGUGUGGUAGCAGUUGCUGCAUUGUUUGCCCUUUGUUUAAGGCUGUUUUUCUUCAUUUGUGGUUACAGUAGCCAUCAUUUUUAUAGAGUCACUGUUGAGCCUCCGUAGCCUGAUAGGUGAGCCGCUCGCAGGCUGCUGUGGUGCAUCCAGUCAGAGUCGUGAGCCACUUGCAGGCCGUUACUGGCCGUAACCAUGGCCGCUGGUUGCUCCCCGUUCCCUCGUUCUGGACCGACUCACCGAUUGGCGUGGCCAACGCUUAUCUGGAACUGUGCCGGCUACGCUGGGUCACGGACGUAGGAGACGCUGCUGCUUUGCCUCCAUGGAAGCUCCACAUACGCUGGUGGGGACUGCUGUCUUCAGUUGAUGGGAACCCCUUCCUGUGUGGCGUGCUGCUCAUCCCCUGGUUGUUUUUUUUUUAAUUUCUUCACUCAGGUGUGUGUGCGUGCAUGUGUGCAUGUUCAUGUGUGAGUGGGGUGAUUUCUCCUGGGCUCCCUCGUGACGCCCGUUGACCCAAAACCUCCACCAGAGAGCCCCCAGCUCUGAUUAGUUCUUAAAAAUCUUCAUUUAAUAAUCCUGUGUGAAUGGUUGUUUUAAAUGGUUUUUAAAAUGAGUAUCUGUGACACUGUUGAAUAAAAUUUGUAUUUUCUUGCCUUCACUGGAAUCAUGUCUCUCGCCUCAUCAGUAGAACGAACC